UAAUAAGAAAUAAAUAAUUAUAUUUAGUUUCGACCUAAAAUUUUGGCUUACAGCCCUUAUUUU
rnacentral:tRNA from 1 species